rnacentral:tRNA from 1 species
CAUUAGAUAACUAAAGUCAGUAAAGGUCUCUUAAACCUAAAAUAAUAGAUUAACACCUAUUUCUAAUG